rnacentral:rRNA from 1 species
UACGUAGGAGGCAAGCGUUGUCCGGAAUCACUGGGCGUAAAGGGCGCGUAGGUGGUUUGAUAAGGGUGUGGUGAAAGUCCGGGGCUCAACCCCGGAUCUGCCGUGCCGACUGUCAAACUCGAGGACUGUAGAGGCAGACGGAAUUCCGGGUGUAGCGGUGGAAUGCGUAGAGAUCCGGAGGAAGACCGGUGGCGAAGGCGGUCUGCUGGGCAGUUUCUGACACUGAGGCGCGACAGCGUGGGGAGCAAACAGG